rnacentral:rRNA from 1 species
CUAGCUGCGUGAAUUAAUGUGAAUUGCAGAACACAUUGAACAUCGACACCUUGAACGCACAUGGCGGCUUCGGGUUUACCCCGGGGCCACGCCCGUCUGAGGGUCGGUUGGCUAAAGCGAUCGCUACCUUGUCCGUAAAUUUUUUUUUUGUCCGGUUUCUGUCAUUUCUCGGGCUCUCGCGAGAUUGUGCAUGAGACUGGUACAUCAAAAUAAUUUUGGUAGCGCAUUGGGCCUUCGUGAAUAGCGUACGGUUAGCGCCCUUGCUCUCUGCGCUUCGUCGCAUGUUCUCGUGGCUUUAAGUACAGGAUGCGCCGUCGUCCUAUCUGUCCUACGAGAUGCUGCUCGCCUCGUCGGUGGUCUCUCGCUGCGCGACAGGUACCCGGCUCGUGCUUUAAAAGCGAGCUGUACGGACCUGGGACGCGCGUGAAAUGUUCGGGAGAUGGGCCGCAUAGCAGCGAUUCGUUCGGACUUACGGCGUCCGUCUUACACAUUAAUUUGUGUGGCGUGAAACAUUUUUUAUCCGACCUCAGAUCGGACGAGAUUACCCGCUGAAUUUAAGCAUAUUACUAAGCGGAGGAAAAGAAACUAACAAGGAUUUCCCUAGUAACGG